GCCGGGGUGCCCGAGCCAGGUCUAAGGGGUGGGACUCGAGAUCCCAUGGGGCGUUGCGCCCCGCGUGGGUUCAAAUCCCACCCCCGGCGCCA
rnacentral:tRNA from 1 species